GUGCCAGCAGCCGCGGUAAUACGUAGGCAGCAAGCGUUGUUCGGAAUUACUGGGCGUAAAGAGUGUGUAGGCGGUGUUCUAAGUUUGUCGUGAAAUCUCCCGGCUUAACUGGGAGGGUGCGGCGAAAACUGGAAUGCUAGAGGAUGGGAGAGGUAAGCGGAAUUCCUGGUGUAGCGGUGAAAUGCGUAGAUAUCAGGAGGAACACCUGUGGUGUAGACAGCUUACUGGACCAUUUCUGACGCUGAGACACGAAAGCGUGGGUAGCAAACAGGAUUAGAUACCCUCGUAGUCC
rnacentral:rRNA from 1 species